rnacentral:rRNA from 1 species
AGAGUUUGAUCCUGGCUCAGGAUGAACGCUGGCGGCGUGCUUAACACAUGCAAGUCGAACGAUGACCUCCAGCUUGCUGGGGUGAUUAGUGGCGAACGGGUGAGUAACACGUGAGUAACCUGCCCUUAACUCUGGGAUAAGCCUGGGAAACUGGGUCUAAUACCGGAUAUGACUCCUCAUCGCAUGGUGGGGGGUGGAAAGCUUUUUGUGGUUUUGGAUGGACUCGCGGCCUAUCAGCUUGUUGGUGAGGUAAUGGCUCACCAAGGCGACGACGGGUAGCCGGCCUGAGAGGGUGACCGGCCACACUGGGACUGAGACACGGCCCAGACUCCUACGGGAGGCAGCAGUGGGGAAUAUUGCACAAUGGGCGAAAGCCUGAUGCAGCGACGCCGCGUGAGGGAUGACGGCCUUCGGGUUGUAAACCUCUUUCAGUAGGGAAGAAGCGAAAGUGACGGUACCUGCAGAAGAAGCGCCGGCUAACUNNNNNNNNCAGCCGCCGCGGUAAUAC